UACGAGGGGUCCAAGCGUUGCUCGGAAUCAUUGGGCGUAAAGCGAGUGUAGGUGGCUUUGUAAGUCUGGAGUGAAAGCCCUGGGCCUAACCCAGGAAGUGCUUUUGAUACUGCAAAGCUUGAAUGUGGGAGAGGAUCGUGGAAUUCCAGGUGUAGUGGUGAAGUACGUAGAUAUCUGGAGGAACACCGGUGGCGAAGGCGGCGAUCUGGCCCAACAUUGACACUGAGACUCGAAAGUGCGGGGAUCAAACAGG
rnacentral:rRNA from 1 species